GCGGUAGUGGCGGAAUUGGUAGACGCACCAGCUUGAGGGGCUGGCGGGGGUUACCCCGUGAUGGUUCGAGUCCAUUCUACCGCACCA
rnacentral:tRNA from 7 species